AUUGAACGCUGGCGGCAUGCUUUACACAUGCAAGUCGAACGGCAGCGCGGGCUUCGGCCUGGCGUCGAGUGGCGAACGGGUGAGUAAUGCAUCGGAACGUGCCCAGUAGUGGGGGCUAGCCCGGCGAAAGCCGGAUUAAUACCGCAUACGACCUGAGGGUGAAAGCGGGGGACCGAAAGGCCUCGCGCUAUUUGAGCGGCCGAUGUCGGAUUAGCUAGUUGGUGGGGUAAAGGCUUACCAAGGCGACGAUCCGUAGCUGGUCUGAGAGGACGACCAGCCACACUGGAACUGAGACACGGCCCAGACUCCUACGGGAGGCAGCAGUGGGGAAUUUUGGACAAUGGGGGCAACCCUGAUCCAGCCAUGCCGCGUGCGGGAAGAAGGCCUUCGGGUUGUAAACCGCUUUUGUUCGGGAAGAAAUCCUCUGGGCUAAUACCCCGGGGGGAUGACGGUACCGGAAGAAUAAGCACCGGCUAACUACGUG
rnacentral:rRNA from 1 species